AUAGGUUAAUGAGGCGAACCGGGGGAACUGAAACAUCUAAGUACCCCGAGGAAAAGAAAUCAACCGAGAUUCCCCCAGUAGCGGCGAGCGAACGGGGAGGAGCCCAGAGCCUGAAUCAGCAUGUGUGUUAGUGGAAGCGUCUGGAAAGGCGCGCGAUACAGGGUGACAGCCCCGUACACAAAAGCGCAUGUGCUGUGAGCUCGAUGAGUAGGGCGGGACACGUGGUAUCCUGUCUGAAUAUGGGGGGACCAUCCUCCAAGGCUAAAUACUCCUGACUGACCGAUAGUGAACCAGUACCGUGAGGGAAAGGCGAAAAGAACCCCGGCGAGGGGAGUGAAAAAGAACCUGAAACCGUGUACGUACAAGCAGUGGGAG
rnacentral:rRNA from 1 species